rnacentral:rRNA from 1 species
UACAGAGGGGGCAAGCGUUAUUCGGAAUUAUUGGGCGUAAAGGGCGCGUAGGCGGCCUGACAAGUGGAAGGUGAAAUCCCUCGGCUCAACUGAGGAACUGCCCUCCAAACUGUUUGGCUUGAGACCGGGAGAGGUGAGUGGAAUUCCCAGUGUAGCGGUGAAAUGCGUAGAUAUUGGGAGGAACACCAGUGGCGAAGGCGGCUCACUGGACCGGUACUGACGCUGAGGCGCGAAAGCUAGGGGAGCAAACGGG